AUGGAUGUAUUUCCUUUUCCAGUUGUCCUUUCAGGCCCUCGGUGCAGUGUUAAGCUGAAGGCUUCUGUCUUCUCAAAGUUCCUCACUGUUUCUCUCAUGUACUCUCCACCUUCCUCUUCUGAAAUCCCAGCAGAUGAUCACGUGUCUCCAGGCUCAAGGCUCUGCACCACUGAGGACUCCCCUCCUCUCCUCUCUGCUCUGAGAUCUGUCAUUAUUCUUCAGCGUCCAUGUUUCCACACCUCUGAGGACUCCCCUCCUCUCCUCUCUGCUGUGAGAUCUGUCAUUAUCCUUCAGUGUCCACGUUUCCACGCCGCUGAGGACUCCCCUCCUCUCCUCUCUGCUUGGAGAUCUGUCAUUAUUCAGCGUCCACGUUUCCACACCUCUGAGGACUCCCCUCCUCUCCUCUCUGCUGUGAGAUCUGUCAUUAUCCUUCAGUGUCCACGUUUCCAUGCCGCUGAGGACUCCCCUCCUCUCCUCUCUGCUCUGAGAUCUGUGAUCGUCCUUCAGCGUCCACGUUUCCACACCUCUGAGGACUCCCCUCCUCUCCUCUCUGCUCUGAGAUCUGUCAUUAUCCUUCAGUGUCCACAUUUCCAUGCCACUGAGGACUCCCCUCCUCUCCUCUCUGCUCUGAGAUCUGUCAUUAUCCUUCAGUGUCCACAUUUCCAUGCCACUGAGGACUCCCCUCCUCUCCUCUCUGCUCUGAGAUCUGUCAUUAUCCUUCAGUGUCCACAUUUCCAUGCCACUGAGGACUCCCCUCCUCUCCUCUCUGCUCGGAGAUCUGUCAUUAUUCAGUGUCCACGUUUCCACACCACUGAGGACUCCCUUCCUCUCCUCUCUGCUCUGAGAUCUGUGAUCGUCCUUCAGCGUCCAUGUUUCCACACCACUGAGGACUCCCUUCCUCUCCUCUCUGCUCUGAGAUCUGUGAUCGUCCUUCAGCGUCCAUGUUUCCACACCACUGAGGACUCCCUUCCUCUCCUCUCUGCUCUGAGAUCUGAGAUCGUCCUUCAGCGUCCACGUUUCCACACCACUGAGGACUCCCCUCCUCUCCUCUCUGCUCUGAGAUCUGUGAUCGUUCCUUCAGCGUCCAUGUUUCCACACCACUGA
rnacentral:lncRNA from 1 species